rnacentral:rRNA from 1 species
CCUACGGGAGGCAGCAGUGGGGAAUAUUGGGCAAUGGAGGAAACUCUGACCCAGCAACGCCGCGUGAAUGAUGAAGGUCUUCGGAUUGUAAAGUUCUUUUCUACGGGAAGAAGAAAGUGACGGUACCUUAGGAAUAAGCCUCGGCUAACUACGUGCCAGCAGCCGCGGUAAUACGUAGGAGGCGAGCGUUAUCCGGAAUGACUGGGCGUAAAGGGUGCGUAGGUGGUUUGGCAAGUUAGUAGCGUAACUCCAAGGCUCAACCUUGGAACUACUACUAAAACGGUUGGACUUGAGUGGAGGAGGGGCAGCCGGAAUGCGUGGUGUAGCGGUGAAAUGCGUAGAUAUCAGGAGGAACACCGGUGGCGAAGGCGGGUUGCUGGCCCGUAACUGACACUGAGGCACGAAAGCGUGGGUAGCAAACAGGAUUAGAUACCCUGGUAGUC